rnacentral:rRNA from 1 species
UACGAAGGGGGCUAGCGUUGUUCGGACUUACUGGGCGUAAAGCGCACGUAGGCGGAUCGAUCAGUCAGGGGUGAAAUCCCAGGGCUCAACCCUGGAACUGCCUUUGAUACUGUCGAUCUGGAGUAUGGAAGAGGUGAGUGGAAUUCCGAGUGUAGAGGUGAAAUUCGUAGAUAUUCGGAGGAACACCAGUGGCGAAGGCGGCUCACUGGUCCAUUACUGACGCUGAGGUGCGAAAGCGUGGGGAGCAAACAGG